CCAGCUUCCAAAAUACCAAAACUAUCAAAAGCCAACGCACCUUUGACUGCAACUGCAACUUCAAAUUCUCAAGCAGGCAAGGCCAAAGUCACCACAUGUGAACAGGAUACCCAACAGACAGAUUUGGAAAAAUUGGACUCCCUGCGAUCUAAACUGGAACAGUCGGUGGAUGCAUUCAUCAGGGCCAGAAAAAAGCUAGAGGAAAUACUGUCAGCAGAGGGCAGCAGUGAACAAGAACAUUUCCUGACUGGAUCUUCUGCCGACCUGAAGACAGAGCUGAAGAGACAUAGAGAGCUGACAUUCAGAGCGGAGUCGUCUUUGAAAGGAAAUAAAGAUAACAGGAAACACAGUCAAGAUGGUACGAGGACGGGUAGCUCCUACGACUUUCUGAAAUCCAUUAUGGGCUGAGGUUUUUGUUAGCGAGGCAUCUCGGCUGUUGACAGCUAAUGGAAUUGCUCUUCACCUCUUGUGUAGCACCGUGCGUAUGAUCCCACGGAGAUAGGUGCAGGAGAUGAAUGUGGAAUCUGUGCUGUCAGUUGUGAGGCUGAGAUGUCUUGGAAGCCGUCAUUCAUUUGCUGGAGAAGUGUCUGCAACGGUAGGAGCGAAUCCUCUGACAUGU